CCCGACGCAACCCCGCGGCCUUACCCCCUCCAGGCCUUUGAUAGGGAAAGGACACUUCCUGCUCUAUCCCAUCACGCAGCCGCUCGGAUUCAUUGUCCCACAAACUGCCCUGAAGACCACCACCACCACCCCCACCACGGCGGCGGCGGCGGCUCACUGCGCCAGCGACCCCCCGGCGGAGAGGAACCAGCCCGGCGCGCGCUGCGGCGGCGGCGGCGGCGGCGGCGGCGGCUCCGCGGGAUGUAGGAGCGGCUCGCCGGAGCGCGCAGACGCGCCGCGAACGCGGCCGGUGGGGUCGGAGGACGAGACGCGUUCACCGCACACCAGCCCGCCCAGGGCCGCCUUCCCCGCUGGCAAAGGCAGCCAGACCCCCGCGAUUUGCAGCGAACACGGCGCGCACCUCGCUCGGCCUGUCGACGCAGACAGAAAAGAGCAUUUAGAGAUCAAGGAGCAGCCCGAGGACCCGGAGAGGCUCCCCGGUGACAGUCCGGCGCAAACAAAGACAGACUGUAAAGAAGAUGUCGACAUGGAAUAAACCAUCCAGUGGGGGCCGAAUCGCGCUGAUGUGGCCUCUAAACGACACCUUUCAUUAGGCCAAAGCUUAACCAGAAACCACAUCUUUGCAACUAAUCUAGGUUCCCCCACUGCACUUAUUUUGACAAUGUUCUCUCUCUCUCUCUCUCUCUCUCUCUCUCUCUCUCUCUCUCUCUCUCUCUCUCUCUCUCUCUCUCUCUGAGUGUGCGCGUGCGUGUGUGAGGAAUCUCUAGAUAUCCUUUAAUGUGUGAUAACUUGUCGGGGGAAAAAACAACAACAACACCAACAACAGGAGUCCAACAAAAUCCUCAAGAGCUGUAAAAAGGUAUUAUACUAUUUAUAUAUGUAAGGUUUUUCUUAAAUAAAUCUAUUGUAUACAAGCACCUCAAACCGUGUGAGACCUUAAAUAGCAGUGCACGCAGUGCAGGACUACAGUAGCCUACAGUAGGAAGGGCUUCCUUAAGAAAUCUCAUGUUGUACUUUGUAUAUUGCCUUAACAAAUUUAUUCAUCUAUAAGCCCCCACUGAAAUGAGGUUACGAGCCGGAGGCAAAAAGGACCCGCUCGACUCCUGCAGAGUUUUGAUAUGAAAGUAAUUAUUUUCCCGGUGGCUACUGCAGGGGGAUUCAGUUUAUUUUAGCUCAAAGGGGGUUAUAAUACAUUACCGAUUUCUAGUGAUAUGAAAUCACAUAAACUUCCAAGAAUAAUAGAAUUAGCAUGAAAAGGCCUGGGUGUCAAAUUGAAAUAGGAAAAUAA
ensembl:lncRNA